UCAGCUGCUUCAUGCUCCACUGCUCUGGGAGACUUUAUAGUCCUGAGAGCUGAACCCUGGAUGACUGACGUCUGUCCUUCAUCACAAGCAGACACAGAAAUCCUCCUCAUCAGCACCAUGACUCUGACCUCCGUCCUCGUCUGGACUCUGCUCUGCUGCUGCUUCACAGAGUCCAGAGGUCAGGUCACAGUGACUCAGCCUGGAGCAGUGAGCGCCGCGCUGGGAGGAAGCGUCACCAUCAGCUGUAAACCUAGUCAGAAUGUUUACACUCAGGGCGGCAUCAUUCCGUUUGCCUGGUACCAACUGAAAGACAGAGAAACUCCCAAACUGCUCAUUUAUCAUGCUAGUCGUCGACAGUCAGGGAUUCCAGAUCGUUUUUCAGGCAGUGGCUCAUACAGUGACUUCACUCUAACCAUCAGUGGAGUCCAGGCUGAAGAUGCAGCACUUUAUUACUGUCAGAGUGUUCAUGUUAUCAACAAUGUGUGGGUGUUCACACAGUGAAAAACCGUCGUACAAAAACCUCCUCAGUCAAAUGAACAGAAACUGAACUGAUGCAGCUGGAGGAUACUGAACACACACACACACGCACACACACGCACAC